UUGAACGCUGGCGGCAUGCCUAACACAUGCAAGUCGAACGGUAGCAGGUCCUUCGGGAUGCUGACGAGUGGCGGACGGGUGCGUAACGCGUGGGAAUCUGCCCAAUAGUGGGGGAUAACCCGGGGAAACCCGGGCUAAUACCGCAUACUCCCUACGGGGGAAAGCGGGGGACCGCAAGGCCUCGCGCUAUUGGAUGAGCCCGCGUCCGAUUAGCUUGUUGGUGGGGUAAAAGCCUACCAAGGCGACGAUCGGUAGCUGGUCUGAGAGGACGACCAGCCACACUGGGACUGAGACACGGCCCAGACUCCUACGGGAGGCAGCAGUGGGGAAUAUUGGACAAUGGGGGAAACCCUGAUCCAGCAAUGCCGCGUGUGUGAAGAAGGCCUGCGGGUUGUAAAGCACUUUCGGCAGGAAAGAAAAGCCAUGCGCUAAUACCGCAUGACCUUGACGUUACCUGCAAAAGAAGCACCGGCUAACUCCGU
rnacentral:rRNA from 1 species